GUCUGGAGAAGCGUCCUCAG
rnacentral:snRNA from 1 species